AACGAACGCUGGCGGCAUGCCUAACACAUGCAAGUCGAACGAAGGCUUCGGCCUUAGUGGCGCACGGGUGCGUAACGCGUGGGAAUCUGCCCUUUGGUUCGGAAUAACAGCUGGAAACGGCUGCUAAUACCGGAUGAUGACGAAAGUCCAAAGAUUUAUCGCCAGAGGAUGAGCCCGCGUUGGAUUAGGUAGUUGGUGGGGUAAAGGCCUACCAAGCCGACGAUCCAUAGCUGGUCUGAGAGGAUGAUCAGCCACACUGGGACUGAGACACGGCCCAGACUCCUACGGGAGGCAGCAGUGGGGAAUAUUGGACAAUGGGCGCAAGCCUGAGCCAGCAAUGCCGCGUGAGUGAUGAAGGCCCUAGGGUUGUAAAGCUCUUUUACCCGGGAAGAUAAUGACUGUACCGGGAGAAUAAGCCCCGGCUAACUCCGUG
rnacentral:rRNA from 1 species